rnacentral:rRNA from 1 species
GAUGAACGCUGGCGGCGUGCCUAAUACAUGCAAGUCGAGCGAACAGACGAGGAGCUUGCUCCUCUGACGUUAGCGGCGGACGGGUGAGUAACACGUGGAUAACCUACCUAUAAGACUGGGAUAACUUCGGGAAACCGGCGCUAAUACCGUAUAAUAUAUUGAACCGCAUGGUUCAAUAGUGAAAGACGGUUUUGCUGUCACUUAUAGAUGGAUCCGCGCCGCAUUAGCUAGUUGGUAAGGUAACGGCUUACCAAGGCAACGAUGCGUAGCCGACCUGAGAGGGUGAUCGGCCACACUGGAACUGAGACACGGUCCAGACUCCUACGGGAGGCAGCAGUAGGGAAUCUUCCGCAAUGGGCGAAAGCCUGACGGAGCAACGCCGCGUGAGUGAUGAAGGUCUUCGGAUCGUAAAACUCUGUUAUUAGGGAAGAACAAAUGUGUAAGUAACUAUGCACGUCUUGACGGUACCUAAUCAGAAAGCCACGGCUAACUACGUG